rnacentral:rRNA from 1 species
GACGAACGCUGGCGGCGUGCCUAAUACAUGCAAGUAGGACGCAGUUGCGAACGGGUGAGUAACGCCUAGGUAACUGCCUAUUAGCGGGGGAUAACUAUUGGAAAUGAUAGCUAAUACCGCAUACUAGUAGAUGGACCUGCGUUGUAUUAGCUAGUAGGUCGGGUAAUGGCCUACCUAGGCGACGAUACAUAGCCGACCUGGGAAGGUGGUCGGCCACAACGGGACUUGGAGACGGCCCAUGCCCCUAUGGGGGGCAGCAGUAGGGAAACUUCGGCAAUGGGGGGAAACCUGACCGUGGAACGCCGCUGGAGUGAAGAAGGUUUUCGGAUCGUAAAGGUCUGUUGUUCAGGAAGCGGUACUUAACCAAAAAGGUACGGCUAACUACGUUCCAGCAGCCGCGGUAAUUC